rnacentral:pre_miRNA from 1 species
AAAAAGGCAAACCCUGAGUUUCCGUGUCCAACUUUGAUUGUCCGUCUUAUAUGAAAUUUUUUUAUAAUUCGUAUUUUCAUUGUUGUUAGAUGAUAAUACAUGAUUAAUAUUUUAUGCGUGACUUGUCUUUUUAAUUUUUUUUUAUAUUUUUUUCAAAUAAGACGGACGGUCAAACAUUGGGCACGGAAACC